AUGGUUGCGGGUAGGAGCAAACAGCAAAACCCUGAAGGUAUUUGUUUAAAUACAACUAUGCUAUGCUUCUCCAAGUCAGUGGGGGCUAACCUCUUCUGGCAGGCAUGUCACAAAUUAAGCCCUGUAUCCUCCCCAAAUGCCACUCUAAUCCCCUUUCCCUGCCUGAUUUGCUGCUGUUUUCUGCUUCCUGCCCAGCCCCUUGUCCAGUCUGCUGUUCUUCUUUUUGCUCCAUGCUUUAUGCUGCCUGUCCAGUCAUCAGAAACAAAAAAGUAUCUGUCUCUGAAUCAGGGUAAUUUAGGUCUGCAUGCAGGUUGAGAUACUACAUGAACAGUUGGAUUUGGAUGACUUCUCCUCCCAGCAGAUGUCAGGGUAAUUUAGGUCCCCCAGGUCACUUCAAGCUAUUUAAUCAAGCAGGUUUUUGUUGUCACCUGGGCUAUGGCACCACACUUAGAAGUUGUGUGCUAUUGGACCAGGGCAGGUCCUGCCUCCAUGGAGCUAGCUUAGCUCAUUGAUAUGUGGGGCACUUGGAGGCAGGACUCAGCUUCUGCUUGUGGUGCUGGGAGUCCGGAGUGGCAGCAAGAGCCAGCUUAGUUCUGUGUGAACACAUGUGCCAGCAGGCCGGACUGGCACUGUGCACUAUGUGCAGCCCCUGGAUCUCAGGCUGCGCUGCCAGUGGUCUCUGCCAGGAGCCGGCUAUAGGCUCCCAACAAGUGCUUCUGCCCUGUCCCUGAGCCCCAGUUGUGGACUUCCCAGGAAUAGCAUGGGGAUCACUGGGGCCUGAGCAUAGGCGCAGAACAACAGAGCCAUAAAGCAGUGGGUGGGACAGCUAAAGUUGGACUCAUCCUGAUGCUGAGACAGAGGUGCUGCUGGGAGGGAGCUAGUGGGGACAGGCAGGGGCUCCGGAUCUGGAGUCAGGGGCACUGAUGAGGCUGUGGGUUGGGAGUGAGGGGCAAGGGCAGGAACAGGGGACUGGUAUAUCAGUGCUGCUCAGCACCCAACAUCCUGGUGAGUGAAGGAGGCAGGAGAAGCUCUGAUUUUUCUAUGAUAAAAACCAAAAGCAAAUGCCAAAGUGUGUAGAUAUUUAGAAUUCAUGUCAUUCUGAUGAUAGAGACACUGGUAGGCUUCCAAAUGGCUUGAAAAAUGUAACUAUAUCAAUAAAACAUUUCCCAACUGAUCUCCUUUAAUAUAG
rnacentral:lncRNA from 1 species